rnacentral:rRNA from 1 species
GAUGAACGCUGGCGGCGUGCCUAAUACAUGCAAGUAGAACGCUGAAGGAGGAGCUUGCUCUUCUGGAUGAGUUGCGAACGGGUGAGUAACGCGUAGGUAACCUGCCUGGUAGCGGGGGAUAACUAUUGGAAACGAUAGCUAAUACCGCAUAACAACAGUUAUUGCAUGAUAACUGUUUAAAAGGGGCAACUGCUCCACUACCAGAUGGCCCUGCGUUGUAUUAGCUAGUUGGUGAGGUAACGGCUCACCAAGGCGACGAUACAUAGCCGACCUGAGAGGGGGACCGGCCACACUGGGACUGAGACACGGCCCAGACCCCUACGGGAGGCAGCAGUAGGGAAUCUUCGGCAAUGGACGGAAGUCUGACCGCGCAACGCCGCGUGAGUGAAGAAGGUUUUCGGAUCGUAAAGCUCUGUUGUAAGAGAAGAACGAGUGUGAGAGUGGAAAGUUCACACUGUGACGGUACCUUACCAGAAAGGGACGGCUAACUACGUG